rnacentral:rRNA from 1 species
GAGUUUGAUCGUGGCUCAGAUUGAACGCUGGCGGCAUGCCUUACACAUGCAAGUCGAACGGCAGCACGGGAGCUUGCUCCUGGUGGCGAGUGGCGAACGGGUGAGUAAUGCAUCGGAACGUAUCCUGGAGUGGGGGACAACGUAGCGAAAGUUACGCUAAUACCGCAUAUUCUGUGAGCAGGAAAGCGGGGGACCUUCGGGCCUCGCGCUCUUGGAGCGGCCGAUGUCGGAUUAGCUAGUUGGUGAGGUAAAGGCUCACCAAGGCGACGAUCCGUAGCAGGUCUGAGAGGAUGAUCUGCCACACUGGAACUGAGACACGGUCCAGACUCCUACGGGAGGCAGCAGUGGGAAUUUUGGACAAUGGGGGCAACCCUGAUCCAGCCAUGCCGCGUGAGUGAAGAAGGCCUCGGUU